UACGUAGGGGGCAAGCGUUGUCCGGAUUUAUUGGGCGUAAAAAGCGUGUAGGCGGCCUUACAGGUCAGCUGUGAAAACUCGAGGCUCAACCUCGAGACGUCGGUUGAAACCGUAUGGCUAGAGUCCGGAAGAGGAGAGUGGAAUUCCCGGUGUAGCGGUGAAAUGCGCAGAUAUCGGGAAGAACACCCGUGGCGAAGGCGGCUCUCUGGGACGGUACUGACGCUGAGACGCGAAAGCGUGGGGAGCGAACAGG
rnacentral:rRNA from 1 species